rnacentral:rRNA from 1 species
UACGGAGGGGGCCAGCGUUGUCCGGAAUUACUGGGUGUAAAGGGCGUGUAGGCGGCUUGAAAAGUCCAGUGUGAAAACGUGCGGCUCAACUGCACGCCUGCACUGGAAACUGCCAGGCUUGAGUUCGGGAGAGGAGAGCGGAAUUCCUAGUGUAGCGGUGAAAUGCGUAGAUAUUAGGAGGAACACCGGUGGCGAAAGCGGCUCUCUGGACCGAUACUGACGCUGAGGCGCGAAAGUUAGGGAAG